CUGAAUCCUGAUUUUAUCAUCUGUGAAGUGCGAAGAGUGAUGCUGGCAGAAGUUAAAUAAGUGCAUAUAGUCCUGUUGGCGAGACCAACAUGGCCACAACUGGUCCCAGUGCAACACAUCACAAGGCGAGAUGGACAUGGAUGAAAUGAAUUGAGGAAGCAGAGAGAAAACUAUGGCUAAAUGAGCCUGGGGAAGUCUGAGAAGACUGUAGAGGAACAGAUAAUGCCAGCUGAGUUGUGUUUUAAGACUGCUGCUGAUGGCCUGAAGAGAGGGUGAAGAGUUUCUGA